AAAAAUACCAUAUAUUAUAUAAAAUAUAAAGUUAACUGUACAAGUAACAAGUUCAGUUAGCAAAUAUAUAUAAAUAGUAUCAUGCUACAGAUUUGGUAUGCUUUGAUCAUGGGGAUCAAUAGAAUCACUUGAAGGGCAGCAUGAUGAUACCAUCUGCCUCAUCAUACGCCUCAUCUCCUCUUGCAUAGAGUGAAACUGCUCAUCACUCUGCUGCCUGAGGUGCAAUAUCUCCUCCUCAAUGCGUUGCUGGAGAAUUCGCUCUUGAUCUUCCCUCAUGUGCAUGAUCUCCUCCUCAAGCACUCUAAUGCACUUAUCAGCAACAUGCUCUGUCACCGCAACUAUCCUGUGUGAAGUGGUAGAGCUGUUGAAUGAGUCUGGGUACAAAGUUGAAGCAUGAGAGCCCAAACCGUACAC
rnacentral:misc_RNA from 1 species